UACAGAGGGUGCGAGCGUUGUCCGGAAUCACUGGGCGUAAAGGGCGCGUAGGCGGCUUGAUAAGCGUGCGGUGAAAGCCCGGGGCUCAACCCCGGGUCGGCCGUGCGAACUGUCGAGCUGGAGCACUGUAGAGGCAGGUGGAAUUCCGGGUGUAGCGGUGGAAUGCGUAGAGAUCCAGAAGAACACCGGUGGCGAAGGCGGCCUGCUGGGCAGUGGCUGACGCUGAGGCGCGACAGCGUGGGGAGCAAACAGG
rnacentral:rRNA from 1 species